AUUUGUAUAGUUUAAAAUAAAACAUUAUAUUUUCAUUAUAAAAAUAAUUAUAAAUUUACAAAUA
rnacentral:tRNA from 1 species